rnacentral:rRNA from 1 species
GACGAACGCUGGCGGCGUGCUUAACACAUGCAAGUCGAACGGAAAGGCCCUGCUUUUGUGGGGUGCUCGAGUGGCGAACGGGUGAGUAACACGUGAGUAACCUGCCCUUGACUUUGGGAUAACUUCAGGAAACUGGGGCUAAUACCGGAUAGGAGCUCCUGCUGCUUGGUGGGGGUUGGAAAGUUUCGGCGGUUGGGGAUGGACUCGCGGCUUAUCAGCUUGUUGGUGGGGUAGUGGCUUACCAAGGCUUUGACGGGUAGCCGGCCUGAGAGGGUGACCGGCCACAUUGGGACUGAGAUACGGACCAGACUCCUACGGGAGGCAGCAGUGGGGAAUAUUGCACAAUGGGCGGAAGCCUGAUGCAGCAACGCCGCGUGCGGGAUGACGGCCUUCGGGUUGUAAACCGCUUUCGCCUGUGACGAAGCGUGAGUGACGGUAAUGGGUAAAGAAGCACCGGCUAACUACGUG